ACACCCGUUCCCAUUCCGAACACGGUAGUUAAGCCCUCCAGCGCCGAUGGUACUGUACGGGUGACCGUAUGGGAGAGUAGGACGCCGCCGGAU
rnacentral:rRNA from 2 species